GGGUUGUGAGGUUAAGCGACUAAGCGUACACGGUGGAUGCCCUGGCAGUCAGAGGCGAUGAAGGACGUGCUAAUCUGCGAUAAGCGUCGGUAAGGUGAUAUGAACCGUUAUAACCGGCGAUUUCCGAAUGGGGAAACCCAGUGUGUUUCGACACACUAUCAUUAACUGAAUCCAUAGGUUAAUGAGGCGAACCGGGGGAACUGAAACAUCUAAGUACCCCGAGGAAAAGAAAUCAACCGAGAUUCCCCCAGUAGCGGCGAGCGAACGGGGAGCAGCCCAGAGCCUGAAUCAGUGUGUGUGUUAGUGGAAGCGUCUGGAAAGGCGCGCGAUACAGGGUGACAGC
rnacentral:rRNA from 1 species